CUGUAGGUUUCACAACAGGCAGGAAACACAGUAUGUCACACACAGAUGUGAUCACUGUGAACCCUUGGUUGUAUUUAGUUUGUCAUACUUUUAAGAACGCUGUGCCUUCUUAUUUUUUUUUUGUCCAGGAAAGUUUUUUUUUUUUUCUCUCAUAUAGGAUAAUCUUUCUGCUACAAGCCGUUAAAGAAAUAUUUGCAGAGUGACAAAGACAGAUCAAAGAGAGGCGUGGAAAAUCAAGAGCCGGAAAACAAGAGAGGCAGAGGGAGAGAGAGAGCAGUGUGUGUGUGUGUAUAUGUGUGUGUGUGUAUGUGUGUAAGAGAGAGAGAGAGAGAAACAAAAGAAGAUGGAGAGCGUUUUAUUGGAUCAGUCAGCCAGCGUGGAAGAACUGGUGGAAGUCUGCAUCAAAGCUUUCGAUGAUGAAGGAGUGCUAAAGGACGCCUCAGAUGUGCGGAUGUUUCUCAUGAUGCAUCCCUGGUACAUUUCCUCCACUGACUUUGCCAAGAAACUCCUUCUCAAGUCUCAGAAUUGCUCAGCUGGGUGCCGCUCUCAGAUUUGUCAUCUUGUCAAGUACUGGAUGAGCGAGUUCCCAGCCGAGUUUGACCUGAACCCGGAGCUGGCCGAGCAGAUCCGCUGUCUGAAAGAGCUGCUAGAGCAGAACGGUGAUGUGAGACGAAGUCUACUCAUAGACAUAGACAGUGUCCCAUCAUAUGAGUGGAAGCGGCAGCUGACCUCGAGUGUUCAGAAGAAAAGUAAGACCUCUCUGCUGUUUGAUCACUUGGACUCCUCGACCCUGGCUGAACACCUGACCUACAUGGAGUACAAAUCCUUCUGCAAGAUGCUGUUCCAGGACUACCACAGCUUUGUGAUGCAGGGCUGCACUGUAGACAACCCCAUCCUCGAGCGCUUCAUCACCCUCUUCAACAGUGUGUCACAAUGGAUCCAAAUGAUGGUGCUCAGUAAAACUACAGCGCAGCAGAGAGCCACCGUCAUUGGCGACUUCAUUAAAGUGGCCAAGAGGUUGCUGGAGCUCCAGAAUUUUAACACUCUAAUGGCAGUGGUAGGGGGCCUGAGUAACAGUUCCAUCUCCAGACUAAAAGACACUCAGGCUCUGAUCAGUAGUGAUGUUCGGAAGGAGUUUGAGGGACUUGUGGAGCUGAUCACGUCCAGUGGGAACUAUAGCCGCUAUCGACAACGCUUUUCAGAGUGCACAGGCUUCCGUUUCCCCAUCCUGGGUGUACACCUGAAAGACUUGAUUGCUGUUCAUGUGGCUCUUCCUGACUGGGCAGACCGGGAGAAAACCCAAGUCAACCUCACCAAGACACAGCAACUAUAUGCCAUCCUGCAGGAGCUAGCAUUGAUCCAGGCCACACCACCUAAAAUCGAUGCCAACCCAGACCUUCUCAACCUUCUCAUUGUGUCUCUGGACCAGUACCACACAGAGGAAGAAAUUUAUCAGCUUUCACUACAGAGAGAGCCACGCAGCCUCAAAUUAUCAGCAACCAGCUCAAAGCCACAAUCUCCUUUAAUAGAGCAGUGGGCGUCUUCAGUCAAACCCAAGGCAGAUCCAGUGAUCAUCAACAAACACAUAGAAAAGAUGGUGGAGUCUGUAUUUAAAAACUUUGACACGGAUGGGGAUGGCUACAUCACUCAAAAGGAGUUUGAAAGCAUCAAGAACAACUUUCCUUACCUCAGCAAGCUUAAUGACCUCGACCAAAACCAGGAUGGCAGAAUUAGCAGAGAGAAGAUGAUCGAGUAUUUUGCCAAGGCCAACUCCAUGCUGAACUGUAAAAUGGGUUUUGUGCACACAUUCACUGCCAUGAACUGCUACAAGCCCACAGUCUGCCAGCAGUGCUCAGGCAUUAUGUGGGGGUUUUACAAGCAAAGAUACAAAUGCAAAGUGUGUGGUGUUAGCUGUCAUAAGGACUGCUGUGCAGGUUUGGCAGUGGAGUGCCGAAAACGGACAAAAAGUGUCAGCUUUGACAGCAACGUUCCACGCAUUAGCCGCUCUUUCAGCCUGCCUCCUUCUACUAGAAAAAACAUCAAACCCGAGUGUGCAGUCAUCACAGAAGAGACUCAAGAGAAUCUAGCCGAGGAGGUGUUUGAUGACUAUCUCUGAGAAGGUAAGGAAAAAGCCCAAGACUAAAGAAACCAUCUACUUGGCUGAUUACAUUUCAGGAACACACAGUGCCUGUAAAGCUGCAGAAACCUGCCAUAUGACCCAGACAUGGAUCAAGAUCAUGCCCCAAAACAGUGUGUGUUUGAAGUUAUAAUACGGUCCACAAAUCCAAUGGUAAAUAUUCUCUUCCACCACUCACUGGCCACUUUAAGACUUUGAGAUCCUUAAAGACUUUGGAGUUUCAGUGCCACCUGUAGCCUCACAUACAGUACGUACCAUUUCUUGGCUGACAGCUGUGGACCCCUGAUAUAGGCUUCUGAUUUUGCCUCGAGGUUUGCUGUGUUGCGCAUUCUGCAAUGCUUUUCUGCUCAUCAUGGUUGUACCUGUUGUCUAUUUGAUUGUUACAUGAGUGUUACAUUCUGUUUAAGAUGAACUAGUAUAGCAAUUCUCCUAUGACAAGAAGAAUUACCACUAUUACUGUGUAUAUUACAUAUAUAAUAGCCUAUUAUCCAGCCUGGUUAAACUUCUAGAAAUAAAUACUCUUAUAUGGAAUAAUAAUAAGGAAGUAUUACAUAGAUUUUGAAUUAAUAAUCUUAUAUUGCUGUUCCUUUUUUUUUUUUUUUUUCAUCCAAGAUUUCUGAAAUCACAGCCAUAGUCAUUGUGAUCGCAUUGUUUCCCAUUCUAAUGUUUGAUAAAUGAAGCAAAUAAAUGAAGCUCCAGACCUGUAUCUGCAUGAUUUUAAGCAUUGCACUACUGACACGUGAUCAGUUAGUUGCAUGAAUGCAGGAAUGACAAAGUGUACAGGUGUUCCUAAUAUAGUGGCCAGUGAGUGUAUAAUAGAUUAAGCAUAUUUUCUUUUUUUUUUUAGGAUUGUACCAUAUGAUUUGUUAAGUAUCUUUUAUGUUUCCUAGACAAUAUUUUUUCUUGAUGGCUUGUUGUUACUGUAUGACCUGUUUUCUUUUUCUUUAAAUUAAAAUGUGCCUCUGA